GGCCCGAUGCCCAUCUCUGAAAUUUAGUAUACAAAACUUGAUGUCACCUCAAUAGUCUGCCUAGGAUCUUCUACUAGCCUUCUGGAAACCUCGAGCUGUGAGAGGGCUGCUUCUGGUUCAAGGAUGGAGGGGCUGAGUACCAUGAUUAUCAUCACUAUGUAGGAGGCUAGAGCCAAAGUAACUUUGCUUCUGUCUUUACCUACUGUGACUACAUAUAUGGAACUAACAAGGUGAGCUAGUCUCAUAGUUUUAAGUGUGAUUAGCUUUGAAGGAAGAGAUCUGGUAUACUGAUGCUAUACUUGUUUCUUUAUCAUCUCAGGGUCACAGAUACCAUAAGGCGCACCUUUCAAAGUUAGGGGAGCAAAGGGGAGCAGAUGGUGAAAAUGGAGAAACCAAUGGUUGGAAUUAUAAUGAGAAGUUUGAGUAGGAUUAGAUCUUAAAGCCCCCUGUGCCUCAAAAAUUUGUGUGCUUAUUGGUGUGACUAGUGAGCUUCAGCUAUUUUGCGCCAAAUUCAGGUCAUCAUCCAUUGGUGGGCCAUAUGAAAGGCAGUCCUUAAGCAUCGCUCAUCUGAGUUUUGGCGCUGCAAUGGUUUUGGAGGAUGUUUCUGUUUCUUCUAGGCAGUCUUUCUUCUAGGCAGUCUUUAGAUAUAGUCGUCUGUCUCCUUGCUUUUUGGUUACUGGACUGCUUACAAAAUGAACAUCCAAUGGUACUUUGUUCAAGUGCCAAUUUCUUUUUCUUUUUCUUUUUUUUUUAACACGAGUUUUUCUUUUUAAUCAGACAGUUGUUGUAAUAAAAGUUUUUAGUACUGUUUCCUCAUGUUGCUAA